rnacentral:rRNA from 1 species
UUUGUUCCCUAAAUAGGGACUUGUAUGAAUGGCCACACGAGGGCUUUACUGUCUCUUACUUCCAAUCCGUGAAAUUGACCUUCCCGUGAAGAGGCGGGAAUACAACAAUAAGACGAGAAGACCCUAUGGAGCUUUAAUUAAUCGACUCAAAGAGACUCCACUAACUAACCGACAGGAACAACAAACCUCUACAUGAGCCGACAAUUUAGGUUGGGGUGACCUCGGAGAACAAAACAACCUCCGAGUGAUUUAAAUCUAGACUAACCAGUCAAAAGUAUUACAUCACUUAUUGAUCCAAAAACUUGAUCAACGGAACAAGUUACCCUAGGGAUAACAGCGCAAUCCUAUUUUAGAGUCCAUAUCGACAAUAGGG